rnacentral:rRNA from 1 species
UACGAAGGGGGGCUAGCGUUGUUCGGAAUUACUGGGCGUAAAGCGCGCGCAGGCGGUCUUCCAAGUCAGUGGUGAAAGCCUGGAGCUCAACUCCAGAACUGCCAUUGAAAACUGUUGGACUUGAGUACGAGAGAGGUGAGUGGAAUUCCCAGUGUAGAGGUGAAAUUCGUAGAUAUUGGGAAGAACACCAGUGGCGAAGGCGGCUCACUGGCUCGUAACUGACGCUCAGGCGCGACAGCGUGGGGAUCAAACAGG